GUUUGAUGCCUCUCCAUGGAUUUAAAUGAACAAAUAGAAGUAUAGGGAUACUAAAAAAGAAAUAAAUAUUUACAGAGCUCUGUCAACUCAUACAAGUUUUGAGACGUGGAUUUAGCUCUUGUGCAUUCAGUCUCCUCUGAAACUUGAGAAAUGACAAGAAAACAAAUAGAAAUGGCAGCAGAAAAUGCAACUGAAAAGAAUGAAAUGCAGAGAAUGGAAGCUGUACUGAGAAAUGCAGUCAAACCUGCACAGCAGGAAAAACCAACAAAGAGAGGAACAGAAAAUGCCUGUGGAUUCAGAGAACAUCUAACAGUGUGCAAGACAGACAGCAAUAAAGAAUUUCCACCAAACUUCUCUCUUGAUCAAGAAAGAUUAAGAAAGACCUGCGAGUCAAUCUGAUGCGACAGAGCUAUUCAAAGAAGAGAAAGCUGCAGUUGAUCUAACUGAGAGAAUGUUCUU
ensembl:lncRNA uncharacterized LOC109076486